GCGCUGUUAGCUCAGUUGGUUAGAGUAUCACCUUGACAUGGUGGGGGUCGCAGAUUCGAUUUCUGCACAGCGCACCA
rnacentral:tRNA from 2 species